UACGUAGGGUGCGAGCGUUAAUCGGAAUUACUGGGCGUAAAGUGUACGCAGGCGGCUAUGCAAGACAGGUGUGAAAUCCCCGGGCUUAACCUGGGAACUGCAUUUGUGACUGCAUGGCUAGAGUCCGUAAGAGGGGGGUGGAAUUCCACGUGUAGCAGUGAAAUGCGUAGAGAUGUGGAGGAACACCGAUGGCGAAGGCAGCCCCCUGGGAUGAGACUGACGCUCAGGUACGAAAGCGUGGGGAGCAAACAGG
rnacentral:misc_RNA from 1 species